AAGUCGUAACAAGGUCUCCGUAGGUGAACCUGCGGAGGGAUCAUUACUGCGAAAGGGCCCCCGGGCCCGACCGCUCACCCUUUGUUGACCAACACUUGUUGCCUCGGGGGCGACCCGGACGCCGACGCGUCGGCGUCGGGUCCCCCGAUGGACCCUUCAAACUCUGUGUCUGUACGUCGGAGUACUUGAUAAAUCAAUCAAAACUUUCAACAACGGAUCUCUUGGUUCUG
rnacentral:misc_RNA from 1 species